rnacentral:tRNA from 1 species
GCCGAAGUGGUGGAAUUGGUAGACACGCCAUCUUGAGGGGGUGGUGAGCAUAGCUUGUGCGGGUUCAAGUCCCGCCUUCGGCACCA